AAGGGGCCUCUCUUCCCAGUGAUGGCCAACUAGGCCAUCUUCUGCUACAUAUGCAGCUAGAGACAUGAGCUCUGGGGGUACUGGUUACUUCAUAUUGUUGCUCCUCCUAUAGGAUUGCAGACCCCUUCAGCUCGUUGGGUACUUUCUAUAGCUCCUCCAUUGGGAGCUCUGUAUUCCAUCCAAUAGAUGACUAUGAGCAUCCACUUCUGUAUUUGCCAGGCACUGGCCUAGCCUCACAAGAGACAGCUAUAUCAGGGUCCUUUCAGGAAAAUCUUGCUGGCAUAUGCAAUAGUGUCUGUGUUUGGUGGCUGAUUAUGGGAUGGAUCCCCAGGUGGAGUAGUCUCUGGAAGGUCCAUCCUUUUAUCUUAUCUCCAAACUUUGUCUCUGUAACUCCUUCCAUGGGUAUUUUGUUUCCUAUUCUAAGGAGGAAUGAAGUAUCCACACGUUGGUCUUCCUUCUUAUUGAUUUUCUUGUGUUUUGCAAAUUGUAUCUUGGGUAUUCUAAGUUUCUGGGCUAAUAUCCACUUAUCAGUGAGUGCAUAUCAAGCGACUUCUUUUGUGUUGGGUUAUCUCACUCCAGAUUAUAUCCUCCAGAUCCAUCCAUUUGCCUAGGAAUUUCAUAAAUUCAUUGUUUUUAAUAGCUGAUUAGUACGCCAUUGUGUAAAUGUAUCAUAUUUUCUGUAUCCAUUUCUCUGUUGAGAGACAUCUGGGUUCUUUCCAGCUUCUGACUAUUAUAAAUAAGGCUGCUAUGAACAUAGUGGAGCAUGUGUCCUUAUUACCGGUUGGAACAUCUUCUGGAUAUAUGCCAGGAGAGGUAUUGCUGGAUCUUCUGCGAGUACUAUGUCCAAUUUUCUGAGGAACCACUAGACUGAUUUCCCGAGUGGUUGUAUAAGCUUGCAAUCCCACCAGCAAUGAAGGAGUGUUUCUCUUUCUCCACAUCCUCGCCAGCAUCUGCUGUCACCUGAAUUUUUGAUCUCAGCCAUUCUUACUGGUGUGAGGUGGAAUCUCAGGGUUGUUUUGAUUUGCAUUUCCCUGAUGAUUCAGAAUGUUGAACAUUUUUUCAAGUGCUUCUCAGCCCUUCGGUAUUCCUCAGUUGAGAAUUCUUAGUUUGUUUUUUAAAAAAGUUGUUUUAUUAAGAAAUAUUCUCUGUCCUGGAGAUCUGACUCAGUAGGGAAAGUGUCUACUACAUAAUCACAAAGACCCAAGUUAAAUCCCUAGCAGCAACAUAGAAAGCUGGGUAGAAUUGCAUGUACCUAAAAGCUCAGCUCUGGGGAGUGGGAGAGAGGAGGAUCCUGUGGGCCUGCUGGCCAGCAAGUCUAGCCAAUUUGAUGAUGUGUGUGAGGUUGUGGUGGGGGUUGGGGGAGGCAUGUGGACACACAGCUGAGUCUCUAAGAAGGUCAACAGUUUUGCUCUACCAUAAGCUCCUGUUGUGCUGGUUUGCCUCACCACUCCUGAGGCACAAGCGAGCAACCUGACCUUGAACCAAGAGCUGUGAGUGAAGGAGCCAAAGUAUAGUUUUCCUUCUUCCAGCUAUUCAUAAAAACAUGUAGUCACUGUGAUUGAGGGCCGGCUCAUCUAGGCACCUUUGCUCUUUAUCAGUGUAGAAUAUUAACCUCUGCAGGUGCAGUGCUCCAUUCUUAAAUUGUAAUGAAGGUUACAGUGUUUUCAAAAUCUUUUCUAAAUAUUGCCGGCUUUAUCGUUGAAGGGAAUAUUUUAAUAAGUUCAUUUUGGGUUGUUAGAGAUUUUGAUCAUUUAUUACAUGUACUUAAGUGCAUCUUUGACAUUCAAAUGCUGCCAGCAAAGCUUGUUUGUAGAUGACUAAGGACGACUUGUACCCAAACAGGGAAAGGUUAUGCUUUACAUCAGCAGAUAAUUUUUUUUUUAACAUCUCAGCCUUUUGUUUCAAAUCAAAUUUAGGUUUGUGGUCCAAUUAGGGAUAGCAUAUGGUAUAGACAACAAAACAAUGACACUUUAGUAAAACUGAGAGGCUGGGAGCUGAAUUGAUUAUGCACUUUCCACCAGUUUCCCAUAUUUGUGAACAAAUCCUUGUGAGAGUGUUAACCUGAAUCUAAUAAUUGCUGUCUUCUGUAUUUGGCCACAUACUCCCACCACGGGCUGUGAACUUCAUUUUCUAGAACUGCCUUACUCUGACUGUUGGGUUUGUUGCUGUUGUUAUUGUUGUUGUUGUUGUUGUUGUUGUUAUUGUUGUUGUUAUUGUUGGUGGUGUAGUGAUGGUGUGUUUUGUCGGUUUUGGUUUUGCUAUCUGAAAUUAGUGAUUUCUAGUUAUUUGAGUAAAAAAAAAAUGAGGAGAAGGGUUAAGCUGUAGCCCAAAAGAAAGUAAUGGAAAUCAUGUUAAUACUAAGGGCAAUGACUUUUGUGUAUCAAAAGAGAAUGGGCAGCCUGGUUGUACUGUGGGUCUCUGCUCUAGUGGGGAGCUCCCUCAUUCCUAUAAAAGAUUCCACUGGAGCACUUUUGUCUACAUAGUCUUGGUCUAUGAGCAUUUCUACCACAGUCUUUUUUUUUUUUUUUUUUUUUGUCAGUCAGUAUAUUGCUUUCUGAAUGCAUAAAUAUUUAUUGACCCUACCUUAGUAUUUCUCUUGCUGUACAAACUUUACUUUUAUUUGAUUUAUUCUCAUUAUUUUUAUGGUGCUGUUCCUGUUAGCCUCCCUUUCGUUCCAUAAGGUGACAUCUCAUCUAGCGUUUUUCUUUGUAUGGAUGGUUUGGUGUGUGUGCAGAUGCACUUACAUGUUCAAGCACACAUUAGUAUGCAUGUGCUUAUGGGGGCAAGAGGAAAAUGUCACAUGGCAUGCCUGAGGCAUCUUCUGUCACCCAUCUUUCCCAUCUUUUCUUCUUUAUUCCCUCCCUUCCUUCCUUCCAUCUUACUUCCCUUGAAUCUGUCACUAGCCUGUUGGCAAGCUAGCUAUUAAGGCUCAGUGAUCCUUCUGUCUCUCUUCAUAGCUUGGAUUACAAGAGCAUUCUUUCACACUUUGCUUUUAUAUGUGAGGUCCAAGGACUUAGAUCUUUUGCUUGUUUUGCAACCACUUUAUUGACUAAGCUAUAUCUCUAGCCCCUAGCAUUUUUCUUUGAUUUUAACACCCCAAAUAUAAAUUUCUGUCCUAUAGAUAUUUAUAAAGCCAUCUUAAUAUCCAUGUUAAAAAUCUCGAUUAAUCCUAUGAAGUUUAAAUUAGUGCCCCUUGUCUUACAAUAAUUUAUCUCACAAUUGUAGUUUUUAAUUUUGUAUAAGUGUAGGUUCAUUUUCAUAUAUAACCAUUUAAUUAACAUAAUCAUCAUAUUUUGUAUUGUCCUGUAUAUUUAAAUAUUUUAUACAGUAAGGAUACUAUGAAAUAACUUUAAUUGACUAUAGAAGGGUAAUAGCACAUUUUAAAAGCACAUAUUGACUCUAAAAUCUAAGCUCUAUGUAGCACUUAUUAAAUAUAAAUUACUAAUUAGAACAUUCUAUAAAAUAUUGAUUGACUUGGUCGUUUUAAUUUGAACUUCAGACUCAGACUUCAAAUGUGGUCUUUUGAAUGUCAAGAAUAUCAAAUUGCAUUAUUAUAAAUUUUUGGACUAUUUAUCAGUGCAGUCUGUUAGCAACAUGAGCAUGCUUUUAACUGCAAAAUUUCAAGUCAGAACAGAUACAUACAACAAGUAAAAGUUCAGUCAUUCAUAAAAAUCCAAGAGUUUAUUGCACAAAUAAUAUCAUUUUUUUAUUCUGCUCAAAUCACAAGACUCUCUUGUUGGUAUUUUCAAGGCUUGUCACCAUAUGGUGACAGUUGGGUCAAUCUGUGCAGGUGUGCAACCACCCCUCUCAGAAUCAUUUAUCUGUCUUACCUCAUGGCCAGUCUGUAAAGUGAUUAGAAAUACUGAGCUAACAAAAGAACAUGGACUGGCUGAGUCUUAUGUGCACCCUACUAUAGCUGACAUAUC
rnacentral:lncRNA from 1 species